rnacentral:ribozyme from 1 species
AAAAAAAAAAAAAAAAAUCAUAAAGAAACAGACAGAUAGUAAAUAUGGAUACUUGGGUCCCUUAUCUGCAAGCUCAAUUGUAUCCCGACACCUUAACGUCCCAAAUUAUCUGGGUCUAUGUUAUUCUUAACAUUAUUUUGAUCGAGUAUGCCUAUCGCAAGAUCGAAUUUUUGAAGGAGAAAAACGAGAA